GAUAAAACCAUCCCAUUGCAUUGGAAUGCAAUUGAAUGCAUUAUCAAUCGAGUUACGUACCUCUCUCAUGUCUUCUUGUACGCCCAUGUGAAUGUGGGUGUAUUCACGAGGACACCCUUUUUACCCUAUCCUGUCUGGUGUAAUUGAACUCUUCAACGGAUGGAUAGAGCAACUGACGUAGAUGCCUGGCUGUAUUUCCCAGGCAUAAAGCCGGCCAGGAAAGAAAGAAAAAAAAAAGAAAAUGUUGCGACGUGAUAAUAAACACACGGAGCGAGAGGGAAAAUGGCGCCCGCAGUGCUGCGAUAUAUUUUCUAAGGGGGCGAGAGGAGACUACGAGGUUCAUCGGGCG